GCAGGCGCAUUGGCCCAGCCGCGCCGCCCCAAUCCGCCGCCCGGUCAAGGGAGCAGUUGGGAGGCGGUUCGGCGGGACAACUGCCACUGCCUGGAGGCCCCACCCCUGUCUGGGCUAGGUGGGCGGAGCUUUCCGACGCAUACGCGCGCGCGGAGCCCUUAAACCCAGACCCUCCAAGAGGCCGCCUGAGGUACGUGGGGAGGAAAAUUCCUCCUCGCGAGAGCGAACCUUCUCAGUGUGUGAGUUGCGGGGCGAGAAUUGUGCGAGAGAGAGAAGCUGCCAAAUUUUCCGAGCCCGGGGUUCCUGGGGCCGAGGGGACUCGGCGUCCGCACUGACUCUGCUCGCUGAGGGGUCAUCGGAGGAUCUCAGCCGGCGCGGUCGCCUCUACGUCUCCAGGGGAACGGGCGCGGAGCCGGGGUCUGCAUGCCCACGCGCCCCCGGGCCGCGAGUAGAGGAGGAAGCUCCGGCGGGAGCUGUCAUCCCAGCUGAGACGCCCAAGAGCCCGCGGAGCACACCCGUCGGCGGGCGGUCUCAGCGCCGGCGCCGGGGCGCUCGGGCAGGAGCGUUCUGUCGUAGACAGGCGCCAUCCCUGUAUCUACCCGCCGACACCCGGAGCUCCCCUGCCCCGGGUUCUUCAGCCUUUGCCGACGACCCGGAGGGUGAAGGGCAGAAUGGCCGCCCCGUGGAGAAUCCCUGGUUUUCAAGACCAUUCGAGCAUCCUGCUUGACGAGGAGAUGUGGAAAGCCGAAACCCUUAUUCUCCGAACCAAACAUUUAAUAGGAGGAAAUCGAGGACCAGGCCAAGGUCACUCGGAGCCUUAGGUCAGACCCACGACGGCUGAAGCCAAGUCUGAGGGCUUCCCAGCCUCCUCCCCGUUGUGCAGGCUCUAUCUGCCGCCUCCCCUCCGAGAGCUGUUGGAACUGCUGUUAGCAGAAGGGGGAAGGGCAGGCUCGGUGGGGAUUACUCGUGGCCUCGGGAGAAAUGACUUUUUGGGUUGGUACCGGAAGACCUAGAUGUAAAACAGGAGGGAGAUGGCUAAUGAGAACCACGUGUCUCGUUGGAACUGCGGGACCCCUGUUAGUCUUGCAUUUGUCAUGCUUCUGGGAAGCAUUUUUAUUUGCAAAAACAGCUACUUUUGCACGUGGCUGUUGUUGCUUGUUUCUGCACAUUUUAAAAGUUUUACAUCACACUUGUAGAAAAAAUAAACAUGAACAAAAUACUUCUCUAUUUGAUUUACUCGCUCUCUUUGCCCUGGAAUGAGAUGCUUUGUGUACAUGGUCCAAGUUGGAAACUGGCCCAUUUGGAGAUAUUCUUUUAUCUCACUUCAGAUAAGAAAAAUAAACAAGCUCUUCCCCA
rnacentral:lncRNA from 1 species